GCAGGCAGCCUGCUUGUUCAAAUGCACCGGUCAAAACACCAUACAACAGUUUGGACAGAGCGCCCAGUAGGCUACACAACAACAGUGCUGGAAAACAAUGACAAUUUCUCUAAACUUCGAAAAGAUUUAACUGCUAAGUGGUAGUCCCUGUUCUCCUUCAUUCUUGUUUUACUUUUGUACGUAAAGCGGUGGUUUGUUGGGGAGAAGAACGUCAAGGAAAAUGUUUCUAGCUAGCUAACUUAGCUGGCUAAUUUUAGCUAGCUAACGUUAACCCACUGGCUAAUCCUCCAUGGACAUAGGAUCUUCUAGCUUGGAUGGAAGAUUGGAGGAGGGAACAAAUGGGAGGAGGGAACAAAUGGAAGGAGUACAGUAGUUAUCCAGCCUGCUGACUAAGAAAUACUGCCAAGCUGUCCUCAAUUGGAGGAACCUCUGUCCGGGUCAAUCUUCUCAGGAUUAUGGACGGUGCUGAUUAUAAAAAUGUUGUUUGAAUAUUACCACAUUUAUUAGGAUUAAGCAAAACUUUACCAUUUAGAGAUGAAUUUAAAAAAAAAAACAUUAUCCAACUACUGUCUAAUUUUGAUAUCCUCUUUCUUAAAAUGUUUGAGAUUGAUGACCAAUUAGUUAAUGUCCCACUGUAAUAUAAGGGACAGAGGAGCAAACAUGCCUUUGCUACCACUCGUGUGCUCCGUUGUAGUUGGUAAGUAAAUCUGAGCAGUUGAGACAUUUGACAUAGACAAUGAGACAUUUUUAGUAGAUUCUGACCAUCAAAUAUAUGUUAAUGUUCUGUCGUGUCCUGCAUGCCCACAUUAUGCCAAUUGUUAAUUUAUUUUCUUCUCUUUUUAUGCUUCCAGUAUGUGUCAUGAAAAGCCAGAAAUCUCAUUAGAAUAAUA